AAUUAGCCCAAAUGGAAGUGGAAAGCUUCGUAGAUUGAAUUGCAUUUUUUUCUAGGCCUGAAAGAGCGACCAGCGGAAGCUCCUUGCAGGACUUUAGAAAAAAGUAAUUCAAGCAAGAACUUGAAACGGACAGUUGGAUCAGCU
rnacentral:sRNA from 1 species